UUUUGUUUAACCCCUCAACGGAAGUUAGCCCAGCGGGAAAAAAGUUGAAAGAAAAUGCUUUCCUGUUUCUUUCACUGACAACAGCUGUUGUCUUCUUUUAACAUCGUCGCUAUAUUUACGGAUUGUUAAUACUUUUAAAAUAAUUUUAGUUACGACCAGCGCGAGUGACGGAAGUGUGUUUCAACCUCGGAGCGCGCCAAUCACGCUGCCUCGGUUAGCUAUGUUGACAUGUUAAGCUAAGUGAGGCUCAUUUCGCUGGGGUUUUUUUAUGUAUUCAUUCUUUUAUUCAAUAUUUUUUGGGGGGACGUAUGACCUUAAAUGGAGGAGCACAUGGAAAAUAUUGAUGGCAAGGAGGUGAACGUCAAGACGGCAAAUGGAGACGACGACGAGCAGAUGAAGCCCAGCACCACCAUGUGUCCCAAAGAAGGAGAAACUCCUCAGGCAUCCAACAGUGACUUCAGCCACCCCGUGUACAAGGAGAUCGCCUUGGCCAACGGUCACAUCAACCGCAUGUCCAAGGAGGAGUUGCGGCUCAAGCUGUCUCAGCUCAAGCUGGACACAAGGGGCGUGAAGGACGUGAUGAAGAAGCGACUGAAGAGCCACUACAAGAAGCAGAAGCUGACGCAGUCAGCGGCCGACUCCGGGCCGGCAGACCUCUUCUACGACUACAUCUGCGUGGUGGACUUUGAGGCCACGUGCGAGGAGGACAACCCACCAGACUUUCUGCAUGAAAUCAUCGAAUUCCCAAUGGUGCUCAUCAGCACGCACACCUUGGAGAUUGUGGGAACGUUUCAGGAAUACGUCAAACCUGAAUUGUACCCGACGCUCUCAGAUUUUUGUGUGAAGCUCACGGGAAUUACGCAGGACAAGGUGGAUGCGGCCAAGCCGUUCCCGGCCGUCCUGAAGCGAGUUGUGAAGUGGCUUGAGGAGAGGGAGUUGGGCACAAAGUACAAAUAUACGUUCCUCACGGAUGGGGCGUGGGACAUGAGCAAGUUCCUCAACAUCCAGUGUCGCAUCAGCCAGAUCCGAUACCCGCGCUUUGCCAGGAAGUGGAUCAACAUCCGCAAGUCUUACGGCAACUUCUACAAGACUUCAUUUUGCUGGAAUUUUCCAAGCUUCACUUCCUGGUGGGGUUAAAAGGAAGUGCCCUGCUCGCCAGUGGGGUCAGCGGUCAAGUGAGAUGGAAGGAUCUCAAGAGCAUCUUACUCUGAAUCCUCAAGCUGUACGGGUCCUCGAUCUCAAAGGCGGGGUCCAGCACCCGGAAGAUCACCUGGGAAACGGAAACGGACCUCUCCCUCGGUGGAGGGUUCGAUGUCUGAGUAGUGCGAGUCGCAGAUGAUGUCGUCCACCUUCACCAUAGGCCCCGGGGAUACGCCGGGAAAUGCCGUCCGGCAAUCGUAGGCAAAGUAGCGGUACACCUGCCACGUCUUCCCGAAGUCCAUCGAACGCUCGAUCACCAUGGCGGCCGGCCGGAACGUCUGAAGGUGUCCCACGAUGCAGAAGGUUUCGCCUCCACGCAGGCCGCACGUGGACGAGGCGUUGAGCUUGUGGGCGCGUCCGAUCAGCAGAUCCCCCGUGGCCGGGUAGCAGCUGCCUUCCGUGCACACAUCCGCCAACUCGGGGAACUGCGUCCAGGCAGGAGACCACAGCACCGCUGAGAGCAGAAGAGAGGACCACAUCAACAUCAUCAUCACACACACGUCCAGCUCACUCGGUAUUAAACCUCAGUUCUCGGCUACUGUCAAGACAGGCAAAAAAUUUGUGCGUGUGUGAGAACAGAAGAAAUUCUGAGGCGUGGGAGUUUUCCUUGGAGGAAUCCGUAUCCCACUACCAACAGCUCCUCCCAAAUGUCAGUGGUGCGCCCCCUUUUGGUCAAAAUGUGUUUAAAUUGGAAAAACCGUUACAUAUAUACACAAACACACAUUAAUUUGAAAUGUAUUUUAUUUAUUUAUAAAACAUUGUUUUUUCAAAUUAAUGUAUCAAAGUAUGAGCUAUGAAUACAUUUUCAGUAAUAUUUUGUAUUAAGUUGACUGCGUAAGCGCGUGAAAGCGGAUCGUUGUUUCCCGAGCUCCCGGUUUCCGGUCGAGGGGGACUUCUUUCGCUGACGGACCCGGAAGUUUUGUGAGGUUAACUCGGUGUUCAGGCAGCUGAUUCGAAACAGCACCACUGACUCCAGCCUCAUCCUGGAGAGAU